CCUACGGGAGGCAGCAGUGGGGAAUAUUGGGCAAUGGGCGCAAGCCUGACCCAGCAACGCCGCGUGAAGGAAGAAGGCUUUCGGGUUGUAAACUUCUUUUCUCAGGGACGAAGCAAGUGACGGUACCUGAGGAAUAAGCCACGGCUAACUACGUGCCAGCAGCCGCGGUAAUACGUAGGUGGCAAGCGUUAUCCGGAUUUACUGGGUGUAAAGGGCGUGUAGGCGGGAAAGCAAGUCAGAUGUGAAAACCAUGGGCUCAACCUGUGGCCUGCAUUUGAAACUGUUUUUCUUGAGUACUGGAGAGGCAGACGGAAUUCCUAGUGUAGCGGUGAAAUGCGUAGAGAUUAGGAGGAACGCCAGUGGCGAAGGCGGUCUGCUGGACAUCAACUGACGCUGAGGCGCGAAAGCGUGGGGAGCAAACAGGAUUAGAUACCCCUGUAGUC
rnacentral:rRNA from 1 species